AGCCUGGGAUCAAAUGCCCAGGGAAUGCGGCUACCACCAUGGUCUGGGCCUUCCUAUAGAAAUUAGCAGUCCAGGUAACUCUCCUUCCCCCGUCGAUACAACACAGGCCAGUCUGAUCUAGACAAUUUCUAAAUCAAGGCUCUGCACUCAAAUGACUCUAGGCUGAGUCGACUGGAGUUAAAGUUACCCAGGAUACCAUGUCUCAAAAAAAAAAAAUAAGGCGGAGAGCAGCUUAGGGAGAAACCUCAUACCUGUUUCUGGCCUCUAAAGCCCAUUCAUACCUGUAUGCAUGCAUUCAAACAUAUGUGUGCUCAGAUAUACACACACAAAAUAGGGACAGUCGCUUGUAUUCUAAUGGCGUUCUACUAUUAGUUCCAUCCACAGGCGACAAAAACAUUUCUAAGAGCACACUCCCUUUACAUUCAUCUUAUAGUUUAAAUUUUAAUUUAUCAUCAUGGUCACUAUCAUCAUCAUCAUGAUAUUACUAUUAUCAUUAUGCACAGGAUGGGAGGGAGUACACAUACACAUAUGAAGGGCACAAGACAGCUUUCUGAAGUCGUUUUAUUUUUUUUUUUCUUCUUCCACUUUAUGUCGGUCUUGCGAAGGCUUGGGCCGCAAUUGCUUUGACCACUGAAGCCCUAUUGUCAGCCCAAUAGCUUAGUAAUCUUUCUGAGCAUUCAUUGAGGACAUGGUUGAAAAGCAAUCCCCAUCUUUCCCCCUGAAAGUGCAUAGAGCAUUAGAAGUCCUCAAUGAGAGCGGGUACACCUUUCUACAUGUCCUGUCCGUGCCUGGGAUUGACUUCGGCUGGUCGCCGUAUGAGAUUAAAGCUAUUCAAGUCACCUGGUGGGCCGCGGCGCGAGUUCCUCACUAUCCGCGCCAAUGUCGUGGAUUCCAUCUUUGCUACCCUAGACCACUCUUCUGCAGCUCUCAAGCCUGCAUCUUUCCUGGCCUGGCGAUUCUAACGCCUCUCUGUUCCCUUGUCUGGGAAUCCUAAAGUCCCGCCUCUGUCUCCCUGCCCAGCCAUUGGCUGCUGGCAACUUUAUUUACCAAUCAGAACCUACUGGGGACAGGGACCCUCAGGGUCUUACAUGGGGGAUUCUCUUACAAUUUUGGGAGCCCAAUUAAUAUUAUGCAAGUUUUAGGCCCAAUCCACAACACCUAGGGUUGACUUUUGCUGGUUGGUUAUGAACUUCUGAAGGCAAUGGAUCUCCUAAGGCAUGCAGUCUCUACCAGAGAGCUGAGAGUCAUUCUAUCACUACACAAGCCCUUUCUCAACAGAAAGGCUCCGUUCCCUUAAAGUGAAAAGGAAGAGAAUGGUUUUAAAUUACUGUGACUCCUAUUUCGGUCAGUGGUCUGCUAUUCAAGAACCAAUUAUCCAGCUUAAGGACCCUCUGCUCCUGAGCUCCCCCCUUGUCUGCCAAGGAUUUACACUCUUGGCUGUCACCUUCCACAGGGGGUAUUAGAGGAAAGGAAAAGGGUAAUAUUUGAAAUAAAAUUUCAAUAAAUGAUCCUCCAAGCAUCUGUUUCGUGACAGAGAGAGUAACUAGGAGCCAUAACAAGUAACAGAGACCUGCCUGUGGGUUGCUGGACAAAUGCUCACACACACACACACACACACACACACACACACACACACACACACACGGGUGUGAAUAAAGUGAGAAAGCAGUUGGACAGUUAGUGUGGAGGGGAGGGAAGGAGGUGAGAAAAAAGAGAGCGAUGCGUGACUCUCAGCACCGGCACUUGAAGCCCAGGAAGAAAAAGAGAGGGAGAUAAAAUGAGGCAAGACACACAGGGGACAGCAGGCCUGUGGGCAGCAGCGGGUGGGAGUUUGUGAGCUCUGAGGCUAGAGACUGAAUAGUAACCGAUGGGGAGAGGGGGUACAGGGGCCCCGAGGGCUCUGUGGAUGGAGACCUGACUUCUGGGCUCACCUGAGUCUGCUCCAACAUUUGGUCAAUACGUCCUCAGUGUUGUUACUAUACCAACCUCUUCACCAUGAGAGUAUCUGGUUCUGGGAUCAGCGAGAUGCUCAGCAGGUAAAAGUCCUUGCAGUCCAUCGAGACAGCUCACGGUACAAGAGAAAUCAACUUCCGAAAUUUGUCUCUGAUCUACACACACACACACACACACACACACACACACACACACACACUCGGGGUGGGGAGGAAGAGAGGGAGAUAAACAAGUAAAAUAACUUUCUCUGGACCGUAGAUUCCAUCGCCAUGAGCAUCAGUCGGGCUGAAGUGUCUGUCUCUGCUCUCCCCUGCCUUGUCUGUGGAAGGCCACCACCAAAUGACCAUGUUCCUUGCUAAGUUUGGCUCUCCAUGACAACUACGGAAAGCAUCAUCCCAGACAGCAACACCGAUGGAGUCAGAAGCACGUGUGUCUGCACGCAACCACCAGAGAGGUGGUGAUAUGGAGAGCACGUGGUCCAAAACAGUACUGCAUUUUUAUCUCCUGGGCCAACACUUACUAUCAUAAUACCCAACUCAGAGCUCUGUGUUUCUGCCGUUGUUUUAGAAAUGGUGAAGUCUCAAACACAGGUCUCACUGUUCCACCAGGCCAAGGGGUGGCCGGGGCUCAGCAGGAGAUGGCAGUGCUUUGAUUCAGUGAUUCCCACAGUGCUCUGCUGUACCGCUGGUUCUGUGCAUCCACUGGACACAAGCUGGAGUUAUCACAGAGAGAGGAGCCUCCCUUGAGGAAAUGCCUCCAUGAGACCCAGCUGUAAGGCAUUUUCUCAAUUAGUGAUCAAGGGGGAGGGCCCAGCCCAUUGUAAAUGGUGCCAUCCCUUGGCUGGUGGUCCUGGGUUCUAUAAGAGAGCAAGCUGAGCAAGCCAGGGGAAGCAAGCCAGUAAGUAACAUCCCUCCAUGGCCUCUGCAUCAGCUCCUGCUUCCUGACCUGCUUGAGUUCCAGUCCUGACUUCCUUUGGUGAUGAACAGCAAUGUGGAAGUGUGAGCUGAAUAAACCCUUUCCUCCCCAGCUUGCUUGUUGGCCGUGAUGUUUGUGCAGGCAUCCUGACUGAGCCUCCACAGUAGUCACCUAGGACCUUUGCUUGCAAACCAUCCACACCCUGGUGUACCUGUGUCCGACAGAAGAACCGUGUCACUCCGAAGCCAUGAUGGUCUGGCUAUCCUCAUUCACUUCAGGGUCUGCCGGAAGUCAGCUGAUGUGCUGUGGAGAAAGACCUACCUGAGAGACCGAAGCGUCCAGCCAACAGUCAUUCGAGUGAACUUUAUGACAGGAAGAUUCUAGCCUCAGCCGCGUACUGGGAUGGCAAAAGCCUCACUAGUAUCCAGAAUGACCCUUCACAAAAGCUAUGAGCCAGAAUCAUGCAGCCAAGCCAAUCAUGCAACCCUUACCCUUAGAGGCAUUGGAGAAAAUAAACAUAGUUGUUUUUAGGCACUAAAUUUAGAGGAGGGGCUGUUUGUUCCACAGCAAUAGCUAGCCAUGGACCAACACAAUUAGUUUUAUUUAUUUAUUUUUUUUAUUUUUUGACAUUACCACAUAGUUACAUCAUUUCCCCCUUUCAUUUCCUCCCGCUUUCAAAUCCAUGGCUUUUUUCUUUAAUCAUUUGUGUGUGUGUGUGUGUGUGUGUGUGUGUGUGUGUGUGUGUGCGCGCGCGCGCGCAAAUAUAUGAUACUUCCUGCUCAGUGUGCAUAAUGUUACUCAUGUAUAGCUUUCAGGACUGACCACACUAGGUAUUGGAUAACCAGUUGGUGUGCUCAACCCCUGUUUCUCCUGUUCCACAUUCUUCGUCUAGGCUCCAGGCCUCCAGAGCCAACACCCAUGUCAGUGUUAUCUUCGUUCACACCGUGUUUAGGCAGUCGAGCUGAUGAGGUGGUAUAGGUGUGGCUUUUUUAUUCCCCCCCCCCCCGGGGGCUGGGGACCGAACCCAGGACCUUGGGCUUCCUAGGUAAGCGCUCUACCACUGAGCCAAAUCCCCAACCCCUAGGUGUGGCUUCUGACAUUUCUAGGAGACACAUCCCCCAACAAGCCCCCUGGUCCUCCAGUUCUUCCCCUCUUCUGCAGGGAUCCCUGAGCCUUGGGUGGGGGAGUUAGGUUGUAGAUGAAUCAUUGUGACCAGGUUCCAUAGCUAGAUAUCACAGAAAACCACAAGCGAUUUUCUUUCUUCUCAAAUAUUGUUUAUGAGUGUUUUGCCAGCAUGGGUGCAUAUGCACCACCCGCAUGCCUAUAGGGGUCAGAAGAAGGAGAACAUCAGAUCCACUGGAACUGAAGUUAUAGGCAGUUAUUAACCACCAUGUGGGCGCUGAGAACUGAAUCUGGGUGUUCUGCAAGAACACCAAGGGCUCUUAACUAUUGAGCCAUCUCUCCAGCUCCAUAACAGAUUUUCUUAUAAAUAAUAUUCCUUAUCUGGCUAUCUAGACAACAAUUGUGCCUAUACCACUGCCAGAAAGGAAGAAACUGUAGAGAGAAUAUCUUGUGUAUUGUAUGGAUGCCAUACAAUUUAAAAACCUAUGGCCUAUAGGAAAGGGUAGAAUAGAAGGCGGGACAUCCGGGAGGCAGAAAGAACUCUGGGAUAGAGCCAGGCACAGGAGAUUCACCCAGGGAGACGUGAUGAGGAAAUGCACGGCACCUGAACUCUGGUAACCAGCCACGUGGCAGAACGUAGAUUAGAAUAUAUGGGUUGUUUUAAAUUAUGAUCUACUCAAAGAAAAGCAUAGCUACUUGGUAUUUACAAUUACAUGGUAUUUGUAAAUAUAUUUUGAAUCUGAGUCUUAUUUCUGGGAGCAUGAGGCUGAGAGGUAGAACCAGGCUUAACUUCUACAAGAAAUAUUGUAAAACAUUUUUUUAAAAAUUAAUUUUAAUUGUUUAUAUUUAUAUGUGUGUAUGUGCAUAUAUAUAUAUUUCUAUCAUAUGUACCUCAUAUCAUCCUCUCUUAACCCCUUCCUACUCCCACAGAUUUCCCUCCCACAGGUCAACUUCCUACUUUCGUGUCCUGUGUAUACGUGGGGAGGGGAAUAUUGAAGGUUUUAAGAAAGAAAGUGAGACGUGAGCUCAGGUCUGGUAACAUAUCAAACUGACAUUUGUGAGAAGCGGGGAUGGGUUACUUUUAAUUGAAAAUCUAAAACAAUUUAGAGCAAUGGUUUUCAACCUAUGGGGUCUGACCCCUUUAGAGGUCAAAAGACCCUUUCAUGGGGGUGCUUAAGACCAUUGGAAAACACAGAUAUUUACAUUGUGAUUCAUAACAGUAGCAAACAUAUUAGGAAGCAGCAAUAAAAACAACUUCAUGGUUGGGGGUCACCUCAACAUGAGGAACUGUGUUAAAGGGUCACAGCUUUAGAAAGGUUGAGAACCACAGAUCUAGAGUCCCAAUAAGGGAUUGUCUAGUUCCAGUUGGCCUAUGGGUAUGUCUAUUGGGGGCACUGAUUUGAUAACAUUAAUAGAUGUGGGAAAACCUGGCCCCCUAGGGGCAGCACCAAUCCCUGGGCUUGAGUUAGUACCCAAAUGAGCUAAGCAAUAAAAACCCAUACAUUCAUUCUGUCUGCUCUUUGCUGUGGGUGUGCUAUAACUGGCUGCUUCUAGAACCUUGACUUUCCUGCUAUAAUUGACAGCAUCCUGGAAUUGUGUGCUAAAAUAAACCCUUCCUCCCUAAGUUAUUUUUAUUGGUGUAUUUUAUCAGAGUAACCAGAAACAAGACUUGAACACAGGAGAAGAGAGUUGACCAGACUGCAACCUGGCAUGUCCAAGAGAGAAGGCUGUUGCCUCUGGGUCAGACUAUGGAAGGUCAAGUUCCCAGAGCACCCCAAAUCUAGCAUGUCCAAGAGAGAAGGCUGUUGCCUCUGGGUCAGACUAUGGAAGGUCAAGUUCCCAGAGCUCCAUGUAUUAGUCUAGAUUAUAAACAUCUUAUUAGCUAGUACAGAUCCCUUCAUGAAAAAUAUUUUUGGUGAUAUUUUUAACUGAACAUCUCAACUACCACCUAGCAGUAUCUUAAAUACCUUCUCUUUCUCCCAUGACUGAAACAUAUGGCUACUGGUGGCAUGUCAGUCGCUGAAAGAUACCCUGGGGUCCCAGGUUCCUUCUGCCUUUCAACUUUAUUUAUUUAUUUAUUUAUUUUUUGAUUCUUUUUUUCGGAGCUGGGGACCGAACCCAGGGCCUUGCGCUUCCUAGGUAAGCGCUCUACCACUGAGCUAAAUCCCCAGCCCUUAUUUAUUUUUUUUAUGUUGGCUCCUUGCCUCCUGUUUCCAAGAUAGUUGCUACAACUCCAGCCCUCACAUUUGUGUCUAGAGGAACAGAAGGAAAUAGAGACAAAUGAGAGGGGGUGUUUUGUUUAAGUUUUUAAUUUAAAGUUUUAUAUGUAUGUGUGUCUGUGCAUAUAGAUUCCCCUGGAACUGGAGUACAGACAAUUGUGAGCUGGGAAUCAAACUCAGGGCCAUUGCAAGAGCAAUACACAAUACUCAGCUUCUGAACCACCUCUCCACUCCCUAGUUGGGUGUUUUAAACUAUGUUUAUCUCAUUUUAUCGAGAAAAAUAAAAAGUGUCUGUCUGUGAUCGAAGCCACGUGAGCAGUAAUGGAGGCUGGCAAAGCAUUACCAUCUCAACAGCACGUGAAAGUUGAGUUCUGCUAAGCAAAGCUGGAGAAACACUAAGUGCACACUUGCUUUGAGACAGUGACUGAAACAUUGUUUCAGCUGCCGGAGCCUGGCGUGGAGGAGUGUCUGUAGCUGUUGAAGUUCCCAUAAUCCAGGCCCAGACACUUCCUCAUGAACGCGGCAGAGGAAUGAAGGACCAGUUAAGCUAAGGGGCCGGAAAGAAAGAUGCAACUUCUGCUUUAACCCAAAGCUAGAAUCUGGCAUGGCUUUUUAAAUUAUGUUUAUUCCUCCUCUUUCUCACUGUUUCUCCUGUUUCCCUCGUUAUCCAUUUUUAAAAUUGGUUUUCAAUUGCGCGCUUUAUCAUUUUAAAAUUCUCACUGUGAGAAUAUAAACUUGCUUUUAAAUCCACUCGCUUAGAACUCGACCUGCAGCGAUUCCCCUCCCAGUGAGCAGUCUGGGCAGGGCCCAGUCACCAGAGCUGACCACUGACCCUGCUCUUCCCAACAUGCCUGCAUUAGAUACAGUUCAGCAGUGUGAAGAAGAAAUCUGCCUACAGUUACAAUAAAAUUAAUCAAUGGAUAGUCACAUGCACUAGAAGUUUCCAUAACUAAGGGGCAACACAGAAACCCAAGCUUUGUUACUCUUUGCUGAACAGUGUGUGGAUUAGAUAACUAGUAAGGCUGUCCCAUAUGUCCCUAACCAAAGGCAGCAAUUGUGAGCCCAGGAUGAAAAGGCACUGACACCUGUGGAAUUGCAUGGUGUUAAGACAGAAGAGAGAAAUUGUGGUAGACAGAGGUUUCAAAAGAAUGAAAAGAAAGGUUCUAGGUGCCUGCUUAAAAGAAUGGAAAAUGGUGCCUAGGAGAGAUAUUUGCACUACCAUGUUCAUGGUAGCAGUGAGACAGACUCUAUGACAGACUACAAACUGACAGUUCAGGAGAUGAAGCCUCGCCAAGAGAACUGGGCAAGUCCAGGCAAGCCCAGGCAAGUCAGUUACUGAAAAACAAAACAAAACAGGCUUCAGGCAGCCCAUCAGAAACUGCUCUACCAUCAGAAGUUGCCCCACCACCUGGCUUGAGGCAAAGACAACCCAGUUAGCAGCAGUUUGCAGACCUUCUCAGCAAUAGUUUCCAGAUUUCCCCAUAAACAGUUUCCAGCCCCCACACGCCUAGAGAUGGGUCCAACAGAUCGAGAUAGAGGUCACCUACCCUGGGAUUCCCCUAAUGUGUUUUAAAUUGGGUCUGCAAGCUCGCUUCGAGGUCUCUCCUUCUUUGUAGAUGGUAGACUCUAGCAUGCUGGACCUCUGCAGAAGACACUCUUUGCCCUUACAUAUUAUGUGAGCCGGGGCAUCAUCCUUCGGACCUAUGCUAACUCCGGGUCGGAUGCUAUAUUCUGACCUGGAACGAUUGGUUUUGCUGCUGCUGCUGCCACUGCCACCGCCACCGCCACCGCCACUGACUCCUGGGGACUCAGGAGGGUGCUGACUCCGGAGGUAACCUGGUAGGCCUCGCCUGUUCACUUUGAGAUGCAGAACAAAGCCCUUUACAGAAAAAGAUUUGGAUUUUCUGUGCUAAGCCAUGGAAGUAGUUUUCUAGACAAAAGGUGACUUCAGAACCUUCCAUAUCGACAUUUACAGCCACGGGACUGGACUGGCCAACAGUGUGAGCAUUUGUGAGCAUGCUUGAACGCUUCUUCGCAACAGGAGUGCAGCCUCGUUUAUUAUGGGUCAGAGGAAGGGAACAAUAGGGCGCUAAGAGGAUGUCUCGUCUGCCCCGCUGCCUGGGGUAAGCCCAAAAUAACCCGCUGAAUUGGAACUCUGGCCUCUUUUCUCUGGCCCCUAGGGAAGCCUUUCACAACCAUCCUCUAUUAUCCGACCCAUUUUUAACAAAGUUUAGUAUCAUAUCAGAAAGCAUCCCAUGUGUCAAAACUCUAUCCCCACUGCUGCUGACUAACCGUUUAUUCUCAUGUGCAUACCGAGCAAACGUGGAGGAGAGUCCCUACCACCGCCACUGCCACUGCCGCCGCCGCCACCGCCGCCACCACCACAGUUCACCUGAACAUUUAAUCUGAACUCCAGCCAGUGCCUGGGUCAGUCGAUGGAACCUGAUGUCUGCCCUACCUCCACCAGCCUCUCCUGCCUGUUAACACAAAUAAAGGUUUAUUAUCUCCCUCCUCACCUUGUGAGAGGACCAGAUUAAUG
rnacentral:lncRNA from 1 species